rnacentral:rRNA from 1 species
CCCCUAGAUGUUCUGGGCCGCACGCGCGCUACACUGAACAGUUCAACAAGUCUUAACCUUGGCCGAUAGGUCUGGGUAAUCUUUGAACGCUGUUCGUGAUUGGGAUAGACCUUUGCAAUUAUGGGUCUUCAACGAGGAAUUCCUAGUAAACGCAAGUCAUCAGCUUGCAUUGAUUACGUCCCUGCCCUUUGUACACACCGCCCGUCGCACCCACCGAUUGAAUGGUCCGGUGAAGCCUCCGGAUUGGCGCGCACCUCGGUGCCGCCGAGAAGUUGGCUAAACCUUACCAUUUAGAGGAAGGUGAAGUCGUAACA